CCUACGGGUGGCAGCAGUGAGGAAUAUUGGUCAAUGGACGAGAGUCUGAACCAGCCACGUAGCGUGAAGGAUGACUGCCCUCUGGGUUGUAAACUUCUUUUAUAUGGGAAUAAAAUGUUCCACGUGUGGGAUUUUGUAUGUACCAUAUGAUUAAGGAUCGGCUAACUCCGUUCCAGCAGCCGCGGUAAUACGGUGGAUGCGAGCGUUAUCCGGAUUUAUUGGGUUUAACGGGUGCGCAGGCGGUCUGUUAAGUCAGGGGUGAAAGCCCGGGGCUCAACCCCAGUCCGCCGUUGAAACUGGCAGGCUCGAGUGGGAGAGAAGGAUGCGGAAUGCGCGGUGUAGCGGUGAAAUGCAUAGAUAUAGCGCAGAACUCCGAUUGCGAAGGCAGCAUGCCGGCUCCACACUGACGCUGAGGCACGAAAGCGUGGGUAUCGAACAGGAGUAGAUACCCUUGUAGUC
rnacentral:rRNA from 1 species